GCUGUGUGGAGAGGGCCGGGGCUCUCACACGUGAAGAAGUUGUUGUUAGGUCUUUCAGAAAGACUCUUUAAAAGGGAACAGAGAGUUGAGGCAUAGUAUUUUUUUUUUCCUUUCUUCCUUCCUCCUAUUUUUUGCCAGGAACCCAGAAAUAGUGGCUGGAAUCCUUGCAGCCGUCUUGGGCUAUGAGGCAACCUUUGGGACAGAAGCCAGCAUCAGGGCUGGUGAAUCAGAAAGAUAUAGAAAUCUCUACUGAAGAGGAAAAGGAUACUGGAGAUCUAAAAGAUAGCUCUCUCUUGAAAACAAAAAGGAAACAUAAGAAAAAACAUAAAGAGAGACAUAAAAUGGGAGAAGAAAUUAUACCAUUAAGAGUACUAUCAAAGUAAGUCUGUGGUUUAAAUUCUGUCAUUGGCUUAACAAUCCACCUCAAUGGAAACAUUUCACGUGUUAAACAACUCCUCAUUCCUGUGUCCCCACCCUUCUACCCCUCUACUUUCUGUCUCCAUGAGUUUGACUAAAUACUUCAUAUUAGCUGAAUCAUACAGUGUGUUUUUACAGGAUUGUCUUUUUUUUUUUUUUUUUUUUUUUUUUUUUGAGACGGAGGCUCGCUCUGUCACCCAGGCUGGAUGGAGUGCAGUGGUGCAGCCUCGGCUCACUGCAACCUCCGCCUCCCAAGUUC
rnacentral:lncRNA from 10 species